ACGCUCGACACCUACGGGAUGCAGCAGUGGGGAAUAUUGCACAAUGGGGGAAACCCUGAUGCAGCGACGCCGCGUGGAGGAAGAAGGUCUUCGGAUUGUAAACUCCUGUUGUUGGGGAAAAANGGAUGGUACCCAACAAGGAAGUGACGGCUAACUACGUGCCUGCAGCCGCGGUAAUCUGAGCGGGCUGGCAAGGC
rnacentral:rRNA from 1 species